GUGAGGAAUAUUGGUCAAUGGGCGGGAGCCUGAACCAGCCAAGUCGCGUGAAGGAAGAAGGAUCUAUGGUUCGUAAACUUCUUUUGCAGGGGAAUAAAGUGCAGGACGUGUCCUGUUUUGUAUGUACCCUGAGAAUAAGGAUCGGCUAACUCCGUGCCAGCAGCCGCGGUAAUACGGAGGAUCCGAGCGUUAUCCGGAUUUAUUGGGUUUAAAGGGUGCGUAGGUGGUUUGAUAAGUCAGCGGUGAAAGUUUGCAGCUUAACUGUACAAAUGCCGUUGAAACUGUCGGACUUGAGUGUAAAUGAGGUAGGCGGAAUGCGUGGUGUAGCGGUGAAAUGCAUAGAUAUCACGCAGAACUCCGAUUGCGAAGGCAGCUUACUAAGCUACAACUGACACUGAAGCACGAAAGCGUGGGGAUCAAACAGGAUUAGAUACCCUGGUAGUCC
rnacentral:rRNA from 1 species